AAUAAGUGCAGCCAUAAAUAUCCGUGUUUAGCGCUUUGACCAUCCGUCUUAUUUAAAAAAUUUAUAAAAAAUAUUACAAAAAUUAGUCACACAUAAAGUAUUAUUCAUGUUUUAUCAUCUAAUAACAAUAAAAAUACUAAUCAUAAUCUUUUUUUUAAAUAAGACGAACGGUCAAACGUUGAACAUGAAUACUGCUAAAACUGUACUUAUU
rnacentral:pre_miRNA from 1 species